rnacentral:rRNA from 1 species
GAUUAACGCUGGCGGCGUGCAUAACACAUUCAAGUCGAACGGAGAAGGGUGCUUCGGUACUCUUCUUAGUGGCGGACGGGUGAGUAACGCGUGAGUAAUCUACCUUCCAGUGCGGAAUAACAACCGGAAACAGUUGCUAAUACCGCAUGAAAUGGCAGCAUCGCAAGGUGCAACCAUCAAAGAUUUAUCGCUGGAAGAUGAGCUUGCGUCCGAUUAGAUAGUUGGCGGAGGAACAGCCCACCAAGUCGACGAUCGGUAGCCGGACUGAGAGGUUGAACGGCCACAUUGGAACUGAGAUACGGUCAAGACUCCUACGGGAGGCAGCAGUGGGGAAUAUUGGGCAAUGGGCGAAAGCCUGACCCAGCGACGCCGCGUGAGGGAAGAAGAUCUUCGGAUUGUAAACCUUAGUCAACAGGGAAGAAGAAAGUGACGGUACCUGUGGAGGAAGCCACGGCUAACUACGUGCCAGCCGCCGCCGUAACAC